rnacentral:tRNA from 2 species
GUGGUUUUAGCUCAGCUGGUUAGAGCGCCAGAUUGUGGUUCUGGAGGUCGCCGGUUCGAUCCCGGUAAGCCACCCCU